rnacentral:lncRNA from 1 species
GGCUUCCCCGACUCCAGCUUCUCCGGCGCAAGCAGAUUUUUGCACCAACAUUUCUUUUAAGAGCUUAUGUUGUGUGAUGUAUAGAUUCUAAGUAUAUUUUAUAGGAGUAGCAUGAAGCUGGCAUCUCCAUUUUUAAGUAAUUUGAUGUAGUAGGUUUUUUUUGGCAAUGUAAUAUUUUUUAUGAGAAUGUAUUAUUAUUUGAGAAGCUUUGUAAGGGGAUGUAUUUUUGCAUAACGUAUUAUACUUAUAAAAUAUGCUUAGCAUG